UGUCUAUGCCCUCCUUGGGCGUUUCCUCCCUAGACUUGGACCGCGCAUCUGCGCGGUCUUUUUUUGUUUUCAGA
rnacentral:sRNA from 1 species